AUUCCCAGUCGAUUGUGACAAAAACCCGAGGUAGGGUUCUAGCUCCGUUCAAGUUCACAAGAGGGAAGCUUGUGCUGCAGAGUGCAGACCGGUGAAUGAAACCGACAAGAACGGAGAACAUGGGGCGUCGGGUGCCAUUAGCCGGAAUGGAGACCUCGAUCAUGGCUACCGACGCCGUAGAAUUCAUUGAUGUUUCUGUUCCUUCUUCCUCACUAAGAGAUGGCGCCAUUGCUUCCAUUGCUCCACCAGCUUGCACCUCAUUCACUGAGGACCAUGCCUCUUGCGCCGUCGUAGGAGAUCCUCCAACCUAUCUCAUCUGGAGGAUUCGGAAGAUUCGACCUCAUGUAGUCGAGCUGCUUCAGUUUUCAACUGCCAAUGAAUUUCGUAGGAUUGGUCUUCGAAUUGCCUUUCCGGAGACACUUCACCCAGCCGUGUUUGUCUGCAAUAAUGAGAUUAGUUCGUCUACUGGACAUCCUUUCUUGAUGUACGCCGUGACUUCGUCCGGGAUCGCUUAUUGUUUGAAGCUGCGAAAUGUUUCCUCAUACAUAUCCUGCUCUGUCAUUCCUCUCGAUGAGGUUGUGGAGUUUAAUUUGCACACUCAUCCGGACAGCAAACCAGUAACCAGCGUCUCUGCUAUAUCUGGAUGUCUCGUGAUUGGGAGAAAUGAUGGAUCAGUUUCAUGUUUCAAACUUGGGUCGCUUGACCAACAUAGCCCUGGCUUUCAACAUGAACUACGGGAUGAUUCAGGAUUCAAUCGUCUCUUGGGUUUCAUUUCAAGGGUCAAGUUGGCAGGAGCUGUGCAUGAUAUGGUAAUAUCUGAGGUCUGUGGAAGACAGUUUCUGUUUGUUCUUCAUUCUGACGGAGUCUUACGAGUGUGGGAUCUUUCAUGUCACAGUAGGGUACUCAAUCACUCCAUGAAUAUUGCAACUAUGGCAGAAGCAAAGUUUGUGAGGUUGUGGGUGGGCCAAGGGAGCAUCGAUACGAGUACAAUUCCUUUGGCAAUUCUCUAUAAACACCCGGAUCAUGGCCUGGAAAUGAUCAACAUAUAUCGUUUACAUUUUAGUUGGGGAGACAGGGUCAAUCUAUUAUUGGAGCCUUCAACACACAAUAUUCCCUUUAAUCAGGGUGGAUGUCUUGAUGUAAAACUUGCAUCUGAUAAGAUAUGGAUCUUAAAGGAUAACACACUGAUCUUUCUCGACUUGUUCCCUUCCGAUGGUCAUGCGGGAGAAGCACAAUGUUACGCAUUGCAAGAAGAGUUUAUUGCAGACCAGUUAUUUCAGAGUGCGGAUUAUUCUUCUGAUGCAAUUCUUUGGGUUACACAUUCAAUAUUUUCUUCGACAAAGGAUGAGGUUGUGCCGUUCAUAUCUUCUAUAUUCGUACGCAGACUACUACAGCCUGGGGUUUACAAUGAAAUGGCUCUUCGUGCGACUUUACUGGAAUAUAGUAGACACUGGACAGAUUCUAACUUUCAAUCUAUGACCUCUGAUGAACUGAAACAAGAAAUUCUUUCUCUCAUUGAAGAUGAGGGAGCAACUGCAACUCCAAUUUCAAUAUACCUAUGGUGGAAAAAUUUCUGUACCCACUACAUCCAUCAUUGGUGCACAAACAAUGCACCUUCAUUCUUACUUAUUGACAAUACAUCAACUGCUGUGGGCUUAGUCAGAAGGAAUUCGGUAUCACUUUUUAGAUGCUUGGACAAUGUUGAACAACUUUUAGACGGUUUUUCUGGGGAACUUGAUGAACUUGGAGGCCCUGACGUUGAUUGGAUUGAUAAUGAUUCAGAUUCAGAACUAUUGUUGGAGGUCUUGAGAUGUGUUAUUAGUAUUAGCAAUCGGUUGGGAAAAACAACUUUAGCUAUAUUUUAUGAGUCACUCAUGAGCACACCUAUAAUCCCUUUCGGAGAAAUUGUUGGUAGAAUUUUGAAGAUUCUAGAAAAUGGAUAUGGCUCGUCUGUGGGAACGAUUAAAAGGUCAGAUCUUCAUGCUGGCUAUGGUUGGGAAAGGGAAUUGACUGAUAAGAAAAAUCUUCGAAAAUUUUCUAUUGAAAUGAUGCUCUCUCUUCAUACUUUGUGCAACAAGGGUGCCUCAUGGGGCAGGGUUUUAGAUGUUGUUGAGAGUUUUCUCAAAUACUUUGUUCCUCGGAAGAUGUCUCACAAGGUACAGCCUCAAAGGUCAUCAGAUGUCAAUACCUCUAUUUUGGUUCACGCAACCUCCCAAAUUUCAAAGGUUAUGCUUGAGUCAGCAUUAGACGUCCUGUUGUUUCUAAAUUAUAUGGUCUCCGUCAGUGGGCAGGUUGGCUUACUCCACGAUGAUACAUCAAGAAUAAAACUUGACUUAAUUCCUAUGAUCGAGGAAAUUAUUUGUGAGUGGCACAUUAUUCAUUUCCUUGCUAUCACGCCAUCUGAGUCAGCUGCAGUUGAGGAUUUCAGUUCUCAACUUUCACUUUUACAAAUUGAUAAAAAUGGAAGUAAAGAAAUAUGGAAGGGGAAGCUUGGAAAAUGUGACUUUACAUUGGCUUCUUUACUGAUGUUAAAGAUGAAUCCUUCAACUGAAGGACCUAUCUACUUGUCUUCCAAAUGUCUUCUUAGUCCACAGGACAUUGUUCUUGCAACACACAAUUUUACCAGCUGGGUUAUUUGGGGGAACGGUAGAGAACCUUCCGCCAUUUUGAAUACUUCAACCGAACUUGCACUGGUUCUGCUAAGGCAUGGCCAAUAUGAUGCUGUUGAGUACCUGCUCAGUGUAGUGAAGGCUCAAUCACAGAAUGAGAAGACGUCACAAUGUAUGCAAGAUGUGGAUGGUGGAUGGUGUAUAAUGCAUCACCUGCUUGGUUGUUGUCAACUUGCUCAGGCACAUUAUAAGUUGCACGGAAUGAUGAAAGAGAGGAAAGUUCACGAAGCUAUAUGCAGUUUCUUUAGAGCUUCGUCUGGAAACAGAUCUUCCCAGGCUUUGCAGAGUUUGCCUCCCGAAGUGGGAUUAUCUUCUUUUGAGCUUACUGGUUGUUUAUCUAGUAUCACAUGGAGGUUCCAUUACUAUCAAUGGGCAAUGCAAUUGUUUGAGCAGUAUAAUAUCAGCAAAGGAGCUUUUGAGUUUGCUCUGGCUGCGCUUGAGUUAGUGGAAGAAGCUGCAAGUCCAAACGAUAAUUGUGGUAGACUUCCUUCCAAUGAAUCUGCCAUUUCUAUCCAAGGACGGCUUUGGGCAAAUAUCUUCAAGUUUUCUUUAGAUCUACAUCAAUUCUAUGAUGCAUAUUGUGCAAUCAUUUCAAAUCCAGAUGAGGAGAGCCAAUAUAUCUGCUUAAGGCGUUUCAUAAUCGUUCUUUAUGAAUGUGAUGCCAUUAAGAUUCUUUGUUGUGGUGAAUUACCAUUCAUUGGAUUAGCUGAGAAGGUAGAGCAGGAGCUUGUAUGGAAGGCUGAACGUUCUGAUCUCUUAUCAAAGCCAAGCUUGUAUAAAUUACUGUAUGCUUUUGAAAUAUGCCGACAUAAUUGGCAAAAAGCAGCAAGUUAUAUGUACCUUUAUUCAGCUCGUUUGAGAAUGGAAGGAACUCUAGGAGAUAACCAGUUAAGUUCCUCGUUGCUGCUUGAACGAUUGAAUGGCCUUUCUGCUGCUAUCAAUGCGUUGCAUCUUGUUCAUCCUGAUUUUGCGUGGAUUGAACCCCCGGUUGAAAGAGAUGCCAUCCAGAGUAAGCACUACCCAAGUAAGAAAGCUAAAAGAACUGUUGAUGAACAGUUUGCCAGAGAUGACACCAAGCCUCAGAAGCGGAAUUCUUAUAUUAAUAUGAAGCAACUGGAAAAUGAAUUUGUGCUAACCUCAUCAGAGUAUCUCCUUUCAUUAGCAAAUAUCAAAUGGCCAUUCACUGACUGCCGUUUGUCAGGGAUUCAUGAGGCCCCUUCAGAGUUGGUUGAUCUUCUGGUCCAGAACAAUUUUUAUGAUAUGGCAUUUAUUGUUGUUAUAAAAUUGUGGAGAGAUUCAGCAUUAAAGAGGGAGUUGGAAAGAGUUUUCUCUGCCAUGGCAUUGAAAUGCUGUCCUAGUAGAUUAAGUUCAUCUGGGGUUCGGAAUGAUCCCAGAAUAAGUAGUCUUCUAUUGGUAUCCCCAAAUGGGCAAAAUGACGUUCAUGGUUCACUUGAUGUGCUUCGUAGUAGUCAGCAUCUCAAUGGAAAUGGCCAUUGGGAGACUCUGGAACUUUAUCUUGAAAAAUAUAAAGGUUUCAACGCUAGAUUGCCUAUUAUUGUUGCUGAAACACUUCUUCGAACGGAAUCUCAGAUGGAAUUGCCUCUUUGGCUGGUUCUGAUGUUUAAGGAUGGUCGAAGGGCAAAGACAUGGGGGAUGACUUGUGAAGAAGCAAAUCCAGCAUCAUUGUUCCGUUUAUAUGUCGAUUAUGGGCGAUAUACAGAGGCUACACAUCUGUUGCUUGAAUGCAUGGAAUCAUUUGCAUCAAUGCCACCCACAGACAUAAUUAACAGAAAAAGACCAUCCUCUGUUUGUUUCCCCUACAAUGCCAUUCAGAACUUAUGGUGCAAAAUAGAUGAAUUGAUCCGCUCAGGUCACAUGGUAGAUGCUUGUGAGAAGCUGAGAAACCUAUUGCAUGGUGCUUUGAUGAAUCAUCUGAAGCUGCUUAAAGUCGAUGCAGAUGAUGUUAUAUAUACCAUCACUUAAUAUACUCUGGACUACUUCGUGCCGUUUCUAUGAUGCCAGACAGGAACCUGUCACUUUUACUCGUUCAAAGGAGCAAGUUUGUAAGCUUAGGACCUGUUUUAUGCUUCUUUGCUGAACUAUUUGAAGAUCUGUCAAUUAUCUAUGUCGAUGACACACCAUCUUCUGUUCAAGAAUGCUCCUAAGAUUGGUGAAUCAGACAACUAAGCAUCCAGAGAUGCCAUGGAUACACCCCAGAUUGGGAGCUGCCGUUGGGUCACGGUCACUUUUGUAGCCUUGAAUAUUUGAUGUUUUCAUUUGUUUACAACAUGUUAAUGAUGUAAUCAUAGACUAGAAAUUUCAUCAAGCUCCCGCCAGCGGUACGAAAAAGCGUGUAAAUGGGCUAUAUGCUCGAGUUCGUGUAGCAAACUUGGCAGAAUGGCACCUUAAAUGACGUUUUAGAUCAUGAUUUUGUCAAGUGCUUUGUGCAAGAAAUGCGAGUAUUCUAACA